GGGUGUGAGGUCGAUCUGGUUGUGAUGUCUGUCACCCCAUUGGUCACCGGGGUUGAAUUGGCUGAUCUGAAUGGCUAGGUACACGUCCCCUUCCUCCCUCACUGCUCCGUGUGCAUCCUUCCCAAAGCUGCACGCUUGGUUGAAGAGGACAAGCUUCCCCGAUAGAGAAGGACCAGUCUUCAGUCAAGGGUAAAUGAGUGGUCCUCAGUAGAACCUCCAGACAAGCUCUCAAGACCCAUAUGUAGGAAAAUAUGGGGUAGCCAGGCUUCCAAGAGUCCAGACACGGCCAAACAAGGCGCUGCAUGUGGCCGUCUGCCUUUAAAA
rfam:Mustela putorius furo unplaced genomic scaffold scaffold00153, whole genome shotgun sequence.